AUGCAUCGGACUCGGAUGACGAUGGUCCUGAUGAAGAAGUUGAUGAGGAGGGGUUCACACCGAAGGAGGCCGAAGCAUUCAAGAAGGUAUUCGGGCGGGAUCACAAGACACCAUUGUUCAAGGAUCUUAGUCUCGCGGAUGAAGCCGUUGUGGAUGGUGGAAAAUGCAUAUCUCUUGGAGCUAGGCCAAGUUCUCACCGUGAUUUGGAAGACGGCAAGAACGGGAUAUAUCCCGGUUGUGAGUUUCAAUCCUUCUUGGAAUUGA
rnacentral:rRNA from 1 species